CCUACGGGUGGCAGCAGUGGGGAAUAUUGGACAAUGGGGGGAACCCUGAUCCAGCGACGCCGCGUGAGUGAAGAAGUAUUUCGGUAUGUAAAGCUCUAUCAGCAGGGAAGAAAAUGACGGUACCUGACUAAGAAGCCCCGGCUAACUACGUGCCAGCAGCCGCGGUAAUACGGGGGAUGCGAGCGUUAUCCGGUUUUAUUGGGUUAAAGGGGUGCGCAGUCGGUCUGUUAAGUCAGCGGUAAAGGCCCGGGGCGAACCCCCGGCCCGCCGUUGAAACUGGCAGUCUCGAGUUGGCGAGAAGUAUGCGGAAUGCGCGGUGUAGCGGUGAAAUGCAUAGAUAUCGCGCAGAACUCCGAUUGCGAAGGCAGCAUGCCGGCUCCACACUGACGCUGAGGCACGAAAGCGUGGGUAUCGAACAGGAUUAGAUACCCUGGUAGUC
rnacentral:rRNA from 1 species